UGGCGAACGGGUGAGUAAUAUAUCGGAACGUACCCUUGGGUGGGGGAUAACGUAGCGAAAGUUACGCUAAUACCGCAUACGAUCUACGGAUGAAAGUGGGGGCUCCGCAAGGACCUCAUGCUCAUGGAGCGGCCGAUAUCUGAUUAGCUAGUUGGUAGGGUAAAAGCCUACCAAGGCAUCGAUCAGUAGCUGGUCUGAGAGGACGACCAGCCACACUGGAACUGAGACACGGUCCAGACUCCUACGGGAGGCAGCAGUGGGGAAUUUUGGACAAUGGGCGAAAGCCUGAUCCAGCAAUGCCGCGUGAGUGAAGAAGGCCUUCGGGUUGUAAAGCUCUUUUGUCAGGGAAGAAACGGUUGUUCCUAAUACGGACGGCUAAUGACGGUACCUGAAGAAUAAGCACCGGCUAACUACGUGCCAGCAGCCGCGGUAAUACGUAGGGUGCAAGCGUUAAUCGGAAUUACUGGGCGUAAAGCGUGCGCAGGCGGUUAUGUAAGACAGAUGUGAAAUGCCCGGGCUUAACCUGGGAACUGCAUUUGU
rnacentral:rRNA from 1 species